rnacentral:rRNA from 1 species
UACAGAGGUCCCAAGCGUUGUUCGGAUUCAUUGGGCGUAAAGGGUGCGUAGGCGGCGCGGUAAGUCGGGUGUGAAAUCUCGGGGCUUAACUCCGAAACUGCAUUCGAUACUGCCGUGCUUGAGGACUGGAGAGGAGACUGGAAUUUACGGUGUAGCGGUGAAAUGCGCAGAUAUCAGGAGGAACACCGGUGGCGAAGGCGGGUCUCUGGGCCGAUAUUGACGCUGAGGAGCGAAAGCGUGGGGAGCAAACAGG